AAAUGAGAUGCAGAGACCUUAACAGUCUCACUUAGUUUCACUGCUUGCAAAAUGAGGAUAGUGACUCUUCUAAAGAGCUGGAGAGAACACCUGUCCUAUGCUUGAGCUGACUUCAUGAGCACUGGGAAAAUCUGCUGUGGACACACGUGACUCCAGGCUGGGAUCACCAACUAUAGGACACAGCUGCCUUUGGGAAAAAAGCCUGAUCCCGACAAAGUGUGUUGAAGACAUACCCAUAUGUCAAGACCAGAUAAUAGUAAGAGUGUGAUGAAGAAGCUGAAAAACUACAGAGGGAAAUUUUUCAAACAGCCCUGGAGGAGACAAGUUCCCAAAUUUCAGAAUUUCAUUGAUUCAGGAAAAC